GCAAGCCUCCGCGCCUUUUCUACAGCCUCUCUGACAUCACGUCCUGGCCAGUCCCCAUUGGCUGCAGCAGCUCCUGGCCCAGGCAGCAUGUGCUUGGGAUGGAGGCACUGAGUGGAGACGGGAGAGGCAUGACUAGGGACCAUCACUCUAGGUAACUAACAUCUGAGCACGUGGACCCUAUUCUCUGCUGCAGAUCCGCCUUGUGCACCCAGAAGAGAGAGUGCUUGGAGCAGAGGAACAGCAGCCACUCAAACUCAGAUCAGCAUCGUAGGUGACAGGUGAACAAAUCACAGGUCUUGAGUUUCUCUACCCUGCCUCUCUCUGGUAACGUCAUCUCCAGUACCAUCUGCUACCUACCAGCUAAACAGACCAACCACAUAAUGAGGUACCAGCUUCCACCCAGCUACCGUGACUAAAUCAGAACAAAAGAAUUCAACGCCUCCUUCAACAAAGGGACACAAGUCUAAGCUGUCUUUGCUAAUUGCUGGGUUUCAGGUUGUCUGUUACAGAUUUUAAGUGAGCUGCAAACUUGCAUCCAUACUUUAUAGCUGUUGGAUAAAGAUAAUGCGAAUAAAAGAUAAAUGGAAACCGAAGGCAAUGAUGCUGUUCUCCUAAAAUGUGAGACAGUUUUCUUCUUGACAGCAAGUGGAGCCCAGCUCUGCAUCUCUCUCAGUCACUGGAGAAAGACUAACAUGCUUCAGAUCCAGUUGCUUUCCAGACAGACUUGAAAUGAUUCAAUGAAAUGAUUACUCCAUUCAUCUGUCACAUUUUAUACUUAUUGUGUAACAAGUGAGACACUGUGGGUCAUUUUAAAGUAAAAGAGAAUAGUGGUAUAAUCCUAUUAAAGACAUCAGACUAUUUAAAAAUAGGACAGAUAUUAACAUCACCCUAAACUGUAAAUGAAUGUAUUUGUAAAGGUGUUUUAACUUUCCAGAGUGAAGCACAUUUUAUGUUGCUGUUUCUUUGCUACACCAUCACUAUCCUUAUCCAGCUAGUGCAGCCGGGUGUAUGAGUCAUAGGAAAUUAUAUUUCUUGCUUAUUAAAGUGGAUUGUCUCAGGAAUAUUUCAUAGUGUAUAUUUUUUCAGUCACAUAAAGAUGUUGAGAGAAUAACUGGCAACCUAUUUAAAUGUCCUUUGCUUAAGAGAUGUCUAUUAUAUUUGCUGGGGAUUUUUUCAAUUUUUAUUGCCUUUCUAAACUGUUAAUUAUGUAUCAAAAUGUAUUGCUGUCACCAGUCUAACAUGAACAAAGCAAUAGCGUGAGCUGCCUGAGAUAUUUCAGCAUAGUAUUAAUUACAAGCAUAGUAAUAAAUGAAAAUUCUACAAACCUCUCCAAUUGCAUUUGUUUGUAACCCCAGUUGAUGAAUGUUUUAUACUAGCACGUGGCAAAAAAUACCAUUCCAGGGACUCAGCAACUAAAUAUGAUCUAAACCCAGAAUCUUUGGGGCAGGUUAGCGUCUCUUGGAUCUAUAAUCUCACCAUUUGCUCCAAUCUGAAUGAGCUCCCUUGCUGUUUCUCAGCAGUAUACCUAGUUUAAGACAAUGCAAACAGCCCACUUUCCAGAAGAUGAUCAGCAAAGAAUGUGUUUUAUUCUGAUUUGAAAAACUGUCAAUCAUUGGUAAAUAAGAUCAGAUAGUAUUACUUUAUAAAAUUAUCAAAUUGUAUUUGCCUUAUUUGCAAGAAGAAUAAAAAAUGUUUGUAAGGAAAAUA